GCGCCCGUAGCUCAGCUGGAUAGAGUACCUGGCUACGAACCAGGGGGUCAGAGGUUCGAAUCCUCUCGGGCGCACCA
rnacentral:tRNA from 1 species